rfam:Folsomia candida strain VT population Fcan01_Sc034, whole genome shotgun sequence.
GCCCGCGUGGCGUAAUGGAUAACGUAUCUGCCUCCUAAGCAGGGGAUUGCGGGUUCGAGUCCCGCCGUGGGUA